GACGAACGCUGGCGGCGUGCUUAACACAUGCAAGUCGAACGGAAAGGCCCUUCUUUUGUGGGGUGCUCGAGUGGCGAACGGGUGAGUAACACGUGAGUAACCUGCCCUUGACUUUGGGAUAACUUCAGGAACCUUGGGCUAAUACCGGAUAGGAGCUCCUGCUGCAUGUUGGGGGUUGGAAAGUUUCGGCGGUUGGGGAUGGACUCGCGGCUUAUCAGCUUGUUGGUGGGGUAGUGGCUUACCAAGGCUUUGACGGGUAGCCGGCCUGAGAGGGUGACCGGCCACAUUGGGACUGAGAUACGGCCCAGACUCCUACGGGAGGCAGCAGUGGGGAAUAUUGCACAAUGGGCGGAAGCCUGAUGCAGCAACGCCGCGUGCGGGAUGACGGACUUCGGGUUGUAAACCGCUUUCGCCUGUGACGAAGCGUGAGUGACGGUAAUGGGUAAAGAAGCACCGGCUAACUACGUG
rnacentral:rRNA from 1 species